AAACCCUAGAAAUUAGGUCCUUUAUAAAAUGUAAUAUUAGCUUUUCAAGUGGUCUCAAUUCCGUUCUGUACAAACAUUUUUUCGUUUCGCAGAAAUAAUUUUGUCACAGUUUCAGAGCUCUCAGGAACCUAAAAAUGUCUCACUUCGGGAGAUCGGGGCCUCCAGAUAUCAGAGACACGUAUUCGCUUCUGGUUCUUAACAUAACAUUUCGCACUAGCGCAGAUGAUCUAUUUCCCCUCUUUGAUCGAUAUGGGAAGGUUGUGGAUAUAUUUAUUCCGAGAGACAGGAGAACUGGUGAGUCCCGGGGAUUCGCAUUUGUUCGGUACAAAUAUGCAGAUGAGGCACAGAAGGCAGUUGAACGUCUUGAUGGUAGAAAUGUUGAUGGAAGAGAUAUUAUGGUGCAGUUUGCAAAAUAUGGCCCAAAUGCAGAAAAAAUCAGUCAUAGAGGAAGGAUUACAACAUCAAGCCCAAGGCCGAAGGGAAGGUCUAGAAGUAGGAGCCCUCCACGCUCUAGGUACCGUGAUGACCGAGAGAGGGAAUCUGGGCGGCGCACACGUACACGUGAUAGGUAUGAGCGGGAUCAAUAUCGAGACAAGGACAAAGAUUACCAUCGUCGCAGUCGCAGCCGAAGUUCCAGUCCCAUUCGUGGUAGAAGUGGGAGUACGAGCAGGCUAAAUGAUGAACCAAAGAGAAGAUCAAGAAGCAGGUCAAGAAGCCAUUCUCUGAGAAGUGUGUCUCCUGCUCGUCGUAGUCCAACCCCACAGAGGAGCCUCUCACAUCCUCGAAGCGCAGACCCAAAAAGCCCUCCAGCAAGGUCUCCUUCUGGUGCAAGCGUGUCGCCUAAUGCACAGGGAAUAUCUCCAUCUCCAAGUUCAUCACCUCGGAAUUUUGAUGCUGAUGAUUAGGAAUGCACGCUUGUGGGACUCUGUCUCCUUAUUCAUUCUACUAUAUGCAAAUGGAGUCUCAAGUGAAUGUCAGCUGUUUAUGCAUACCGGCCUCUUGAUGUGCUGGAUGGUUAAUUUUGAUUUAGUGGAAUUUUUUCUCAAGCUUAAAAUUUAGAGUAAAUGAAGUUGUUGGUUUGUUACACUGGUAUGGUGACAACUUGGUCGUGGCCAAAACCUUUGGCAGCCAAAGAAAAUCCAUGUGUAGGAUGAGCAACUUAUGAGUUUGGAUUGUGAGGUCGUGGAAACAAUGGUUGUAGCUGUCGUGACCAAGAUGGUGGCAGGGGCUGUGUUUACUGAAUUGUAGCUGAUGCUGUUGUUGCUCCUGAAAGUUAAAAAGUUGAGCUUCAUUUAGCAGUUGAUUUGAUGCUGUUUAAAAAAUUGGUGUCUAACUCUGCUGGGGUCGGGGUUCAAGAGGGAAGGGGUUUUGUGUGAACUACAGCUUUUUCGAUGAUGCUGUUGAUGCUUGGGUAGUAUUCAACUCAAUUGAUUAUUUGGUAUUGCAUUUAACCAUUCUGUGCUUUUCUGUUUGAGUAAUUGUUUUUUUGAUAAAUCUCCCAGUGCAUAGGAAGUACAGCUUAGGGACUAGUAGCUUGUGCUGGUUGGAUGGUUAGUAUUAACUAGAGGCUUUUAGAGAUUGUUUGUUACACCAGCAUUGUUUAACAUUAGUGUUCACAAAAAGAACUCUCAUAUGUAGUAUGGAAAUCUUAGGACUCUAGAGGAAGUCUCCACUUUGAUCUUAAUUAGUAAUGAUUAUCUUUAUUAGUUUUAAUGUUCUAAUUCUAACUUACCCUGGACCUUGUCCUGAGAUGUGAUAGUUUGAGGUGUGGAAACAAUGGUUGUAGCCGUGUGCCCGCCCCUGAAGCUGUUGCUGUUGUAGCUGUUAGAAGUUAGAAGUUGAACUUGAGUUUGGGGUUGACUUGAUGGCAUCAGGACAUUUAAAAGUGCUUGUCCAACAUUGGGGUGAUCCAGUGUCAACGGUGUUUUAUGUUGGCUUUGAUGGUGCUGCUAAUAUUUGGGGUAGUAUUAUAUUUGGCAUUGCAUUGGUUAAUUUCCACUUGGUUUUUGAGGUGAUUUAUUGUGUGUACUUUUGAUCUGUGUACUGUGUUUUAUUUGGCAUUGCAUUUAGUAUGUCUGUUCGAGGACACCUUUACAACAAUGCAUCAUUUAGAGCAAAACAGAAAGGCAUUUUUUAGUUUAUUACUUAUUACGUCGAUUUUCUCUUUUCAAAAUUCAUACUGGAAAUGCACUAUAAAUAGUUGUAUUAGUGUUUGCUGUUAUGAUAAUCAGUUUUUGUGGCAUCUUCUGAACCAUUGAAGUGCUGUUUUUAAGAAUAGUCAGAGAAAAGUGUGCAAAACCUCUGUCAAAUGUUAUAUUGGAUCAUCUUAUGCUUUGCUCUUGAAAUGAAUCUCCUUGUGAAAAAAUGUGCAAAACCUCUGUCGGCUGUUAUAUUGGAUCAUCUUAUGCUUUGCUCUUGAAUUGCAUGUAGUGUUUGUAUCUGCUUUGGAAGACAAUUAGUUACAGUUGCAUCAUUUAAAGCAAAACAAGGUGUAUAUGUCUGAUUAGCUUUUUGUCAUUAAAGUUUGUGGAGUUAUGGGGUGGAAAAAAGGCAAAUGGUAUAAGUACUAGCAUUCUAUUCAUUUAUAUGGGGAGCUAUCUUAUAGUGGUCAGCUAGAUUAUUAAAGAAAAUUCUAGCCAGGUAAAGUUUCUAUUCUUUGUAUUUUUGCAAAGAGCUUUGAUGCAUGGGAUCAAGGCACAAACUAGUAUUGAAUGCUAGUCUCCACAUUUGGUGGUGGUUUAUUUUUUAUUUUUUAUUUUAUUGCUUUACAAUGCAAGAGCUAGCAGAUUAUACCGUACAUUGUAAAAGACGAUGAAGCAAAUGACUAUGAUCAGGUUGCCAGGGUUAUUAUGGAGAAUUUACACUACAGAUAGUUGUAAGGCAUGAACGGCACCUUGUUCGUUGUGGAGUGCUAAGCAAAUCUUUCAGCACAUGGCUCAUAAUUUUGUUGUCUUAGCAGGUUUUUGCUUUCCUUCAAAUCUUUUAGCAGGGCAUAAAUUAUUAGACUAAGUAAUGGAGAUAGUACAUUUAUCAUUCUUAGUACCGAAUUCCAUGUCCAGGUGUCAUCUUUUACUUGUAAGCGGCCAGGAGGACUGGCAAUACUCUUUGCAUUUCGGGUCAAAAUUUCUUCCAAACAUAUUAAAUGAUCCAUACCACUCUUGCUUUCAGUCUAAAUCUAUAAAAGAUUUUUUUUCCUGGGGCCGAGCUA